rnacentral:tmRNA from 1 species
UCCCUUUCAAAUCAUGCCCUGCGCGCCUAUAUUGACCGUGCAGUCCUUCGGGAUUGCUAUGGCGAUAAACGGCGUCGUGAAAUAGGCACAGCGGACCCGGGGGCGGUACCCGGCGGCUCCACCAUUAUUUCUGGUUGUUCCGGAAGGUUUGGGGCCGAACUAGGAUCGACGUGUGUUGAAAGACGAGAGCUUUUGCCCGGCCUGAAAACGCCGUUAAACUGUUCAAAACACCAUAAAUGCCAACGACAACGAGGCAUUCGCAAUCGCAGCGUAACCCGGUCCUCACGGACUAAGUUACACUGGCCGAAAGCGCGGUAGGGACCACGCCGGGCAACAGAAGUGGAAACCAGCGGUACGGGGAGCACCGGGCAACAGAAGCUCCCCACU